ACACCCAGAAGCCCCUCCUCCUCCAGUGGUUGCUGGAUGAAUAGUGAGAUGAGGAAAAUGAAGCCCAGAGUGUUUCAGUGAUGGGUCCCGCCCCAAUCCACAUAGCUACAAGUCUCUCGGACUCCAAAGUGCGUACUCAAUCAGAGAAUCUGCAAACUGGUAUCAAAGGCUCCUGUUGAAAGUAUCUGCCACGUCAAGAGCAAAGAAGCAUUCCUAAAGUAACAACCACAAGAAUGGGAAGCAAAAAGAGGAUUGGAAAUGAAACAAGGAGGGAUUAGAUGCAAUGAUGACAAACUAGAUGAGAAGACCCUUGGGAAAAUCUGGGUGAACUUGUAUCAGGAGAAGUCCUGAGAAGAUUGAGUACCAAAGAUAUAACUUGAAGAGAAGAAACACAAAACACUGCAUUUUUAUAUAAGAUAUGAGACAUUUUUGCUGGAAAAAUAACCAACUAAACAAAAACAAUUCAUGUAUCUCAAAAAUAAAAUCCAAAGAAAAAGAGAAGGAGAAGAUAAAGAAGGCAGCAAAGGAAAAGGAGCAGGAGGACAAAAGAGGUAACAAAAAUAACUAAAUUGGAUUUACCACUAGCCAUCUGAAUAAAAAUUAUAUGUCAGUAAGGUAACAAAUAAAUCUUGUGUUAAUCACUCUGCAAAGCAUGCAUGAAGUCUUCUAGGGCAGUGUUUCUCAAAUUGUAGUCCUCAGGUUGGCAACAUGAGCAACCUCUGGUAAAUUAUUAAAAAUGGAAAUUGUUGGGCUCUACCUUAGACUGACUUUUCAGACACUCUGGGGUGGGCCUCGUAGCCCAUAACCUGUGUUCUGUCAAACCUUCCAAGUGAUUCUGGUGCAUACUCAAGUUUGAGGACCACUUCUGUAGGACAAUGCACCUAUAUAAAUAAAUGAAACACAUAAUAUAUGUUUGUCAUUGUUUUUAAUUUUUUUUUAUUUUUUGAUGCAUGAGCUUUAUACCCAUAUCCAGAUAAAAACUUCCUGAAGGUGGGAUAGAUAAGAUAGCUCAUGAUCCAAAUAUUUAUCUCGAGAACAAAGUCUUCAUGAUUGUUCUCCAAAAAUAACGUAAAAUAAGUGUUUUCAUUGUUAGAGACCCUAA